UGCAAGUGGUAGAGGAGCGUUCCUAUCUGCGGUGAAGCAGCACUGGAAAGUGUUGAACUCGGAGAUAGCUGGUUCUCCUCGAAAUAGCUUUAGGGCUAGCGUCGCGUAGUAGCAAAUAGGGGUAGAGCUCUGUAAAGGACUGGGGCUGGCAACGGUACCCACCCUUAACAAACUACGAAUACUAUUUGUGUAAUCGCGGCAGUUAGAACGUCGGGGCUAAGCUCGGCGCUCGAAAGGGAAACAGCCCAGACCAUCGUCUAAGGUCCCUAAAUUUACACUCAGUGGGAAACAAGGUGAGAUUUCUUAAACAGCGAGGAUGUUGGCUUAGAAGCAGCCAUUCAUUUAAAGAGUGCGUAACAGCUCACUCGUCAAGAGAUUUUGCGUGGAAAAUGUAACGGGGCUAAAGUGUAAUACCGAAGACAUGGAUUUGCAGUUUACUGCAAGUGGUAGAGGAGCGUUCCUAUCUGCGGUGAAGCAGCACUGGAAAGUGUUGUGGAGCGUUAGGAAGUGAGAAUGCUGGAAUGAGUAACCAUAAGACAGGUGAGAAUCCUGUCGGCCGUAAGAGCAAGGUUUCCUGAGCCAUGGUAAUCAUCUCAGGGUUAGUCGGGCCUAAGCCGAGGCGCAUAGCGUAGGCGAUGGACAUCAGGUUAAUAUUCCUGAACCGGCGUAGUUUGUACACUGUUCACGGCGAGAUAUUCGGAGCGGAUUCAUGGUAUGUAUCCGUCCAACCUAGGGGGAACCCGAUGGGAGUGAAAGUGAGUCUUCGGACUUACGAUUCUGGAAAAGGCGCUGGCUAGAAAAGCAGGUGUACGCGUGACUAUGUCCGCCCGUACCGCAAACCAACACAGGUGCUCGAGUCGAGUAGACUCAGGCUUACGAGAGACCCUUCGCUAAGGAACUCGGCAAUACAGCGACCGUAACUUCGGGAUAAGGUCUGCCCCCUCUUCUUUGAAGAGGAAUGCCGCGUACACUCAGCAAGAGUAACGGUUAAAAGGUGUGUCUAACUAACACACAAUGAGUACGUUCUAGUUCUUCGGAACUAUGAAUGACAAAUCCUUUUUAGAACCAAAUAGAUUUUUUCUGAGAUAAGUAACAAAUGAUUUUGUUCUUUUGAACGCGAGAACUUCGUCUUUACAGAUGAGGGGGCCGCAGCAAAAGAGCCCACGGAACUGUUUAUCAAAAACACAGGUCUCUGCUAACACGAAAGUGGAUGUAUAGGGGCUGACUCCUGCCCGGUGCUGGAAGGUUAAGGGGAGCGCUUCACGGUGCGAACUGAAGCCCCAGUGAACGGCGGCGGUAACUAUAACCGUCCUAAGGUAGCGAAAUUCCUUGUCAGGUAAGUUCUGACCCGCACGAAUGGAGUAAUGAUUUGGGUACUGUCUCGACGAAGAGCUCGGUGAAAGUGCAUUGACGGUAAAGAUGCCGUCUGUCCGCAGCAGGACGAAAAGACCCCGUGGAGCUUUACUACAGCUUGACAUUGAAUCGAGCUACAACAUGUGUAGAAUAGGUGGGAGACUUUGAAGCCUAGACGCCAGUCUAAGCUGAGUCGCAAUGUGAAAUACCACCCUUGUUGUAGUUUUAUUCUUACCAAGGCCACAAAUUGCGGAGCAAUUUUGGCAUUUAUCAAUUCACAUUUUUCAAUUUUCAUUUUAAAAAUUCCAGAUAAUGAUUUUUCUUCAAUGAAAAAUGUUAAUUGAAGAAUGAUAAAUGAUCAGAACUGAUCCUCAGUUUCUGGUCUUGGGACCGUGUCUGGUGGGUAGUUUAACUGGGGCGGUUGCCUCCUAAAGAGUAGCGGAGGCGUUCAA
rnacentral:rRNA from 1 species